rnacentral:rRNA from 1 species
CCUACGGGGGGCAGCAGUGAGGAAUAUUGGUCAAUGGACGAGAGUCUGAACCAGCCAAGUAGCGUGAAGGAUGACGGCUCUAUGGGUUGUAAACUUCUUUUAUAUGGGAAUAAAAUGUUCCACGUGUGGGAUUUUGUAUGUACCAUAUGAAUAAGGAUCGGCUAACUCCGGUCCAGCAGCCGCGGUAAUACGGAGGAUCCGAGCGUUAUCCGGAUUUAUUGGGUUUAAAGGGAGCGUAGGUGGAUUGUUAAGUCAGUUGUGAAAGUUUGCGGCUCAACCGUAAGAUUGCAGUUGAAACUGGCAGGCUUGAGUACAGUAGAGGUAGGCGGAAUUCGUGGUGUAGCGGUGAAAUGCUUAGAUAUCACGAAGAACUCCGAUGGCGAAGGCAGCUCACUGGACUGCAACUGACGCUGAGGCUCGAAAGUGUGGGUAUCAAACAGGAUUAGAUACCCGAGUAGUC